AACGAACGCUGGCGGCAGGCCUAACACAUGCAAGUCGAACGCUCCGCAAGGGGAGUGGCGCACGGGUGAGUAACACGUGGGAACCUACCUUCUGGUACGGAACAACCAAGGGAAACUUUGGCUAAAACCGUAAUACGACCUCCGGGUGAAAGAUUGAUCGCCGGAAGAGGGGCCCGCGUCCGAUUAGGUAGUUGGUGAGGUAACGGCUCACCAAGCCUACGAUCGGUAGCUGGUCUGAGAGGAUGGCCAGCCACACUGGGACUGAGACACGGCCCAGACUCCUACGGGAGGCAGCAGUGGGGAAUAUUGGACAAUGGACGAAAGUCUGAUCCAGCAACGCCGCGUGAGCGAUGAAGGCC
rnacentral:rRNA from 1 species